ACCAAAAAAAAGAUGAUUCUUUGCUCUCAAAGUUCAGCCGCCGGGAAAAAAGAGAGAGGUUUGUGUGCUGCCUCCUUCUAUGGUGGAGAUAACUGAAGAAGAAGAGCAGUUUCGUUUUCACUUUCAGAAUCUUCCCAGAUAUGUUCUUGCUUUUUUUUCUUCUUUUGAAAUUAUCCAGAUUUGGGUUCUUAAUUCGAUUCGAUUAUAUGAAGAUACUGGUACCCAACCCUUCACCACUUUUCUCUUCUCUUUUGGCAUUAGAAAAAGCCAUUUAUUAACGGCAGUAUUAAAUUCAAGGUUCAACUUGAACAUGAGUAGUGUUUCAAAGAGAAAAGACAAAUCUGGUGAAUAUAGCCAAGCUAUGGGGAAAUGGGAAAAAGGCAUGUUAUGACUGAGACGAUUGAGAAUCAUAUCCCAGGAGGUGAAGAAGGACGCAGCAGUACGGCUCUUGUCACUGUACGAUGAGAUAAGGCCAGCCAUUAAAGAGCAUGAAAGAGAUAGCCAAGACUGGCAACAAGUGUGGCGGAGAAAUGGAUACAAGCAAGCUGUAAUAAACAUAGAGUUUGAUCUAUAAUCUAGUGUAAUUAAGAAUACAUUCUUUAUUUAAUUAAAAAAGUGGGGAAAGUAAUAUAUUUUGAA